rnacentral:misc_RNA from 1 species
GCCCCGCCCGGCGCGGACCCAGCGAGGAGCCCCUCCAGCUGCAGCAUGGCGCCCACACCGCCCACACCGCACGGCGCGCACAGCCCCUCCAGGGUCCCAACGACGGCGGUGCGGUGGAUAGUCGUCCUUUUGCUUUUCCUUUCUGUCCUGCAUUUCAGCAGUGGCAACCAGUCCAAGAGCGGGGUAGCCAAGGUCAAUUUCCGUGAGAAGGAGAAGCAAGUUUUGGACCAAAUCCUGGGCCGGUACGACGCCAGGAUACGGCCGUCGGGCGAAAACGGCACCGAUGGGCCCGCGAUAGUGGUUGUCAACAUAUUUGUAAGAAGUAUCUCAAAAAUUGAUGACGUGACGAUGGAAUACAGCGUCCAGUUAACAUUCCGUGAGCAGUGGCUGGAUGAGCGACUCAAGUUCAAUGAUUUCGGAGGGAAAAUAAAGUACCUGACUCUGACGGACGCCGCCAGGGUGUGGAUGCCGGACUUGUUCUUCUCCAACGAGAAGGAGGGCCACUUCCACAACAUCAUCAUGCCCAACGUCUACAUCCGCAUCUUCCCGUACGGCUCCGUCCUCUACAGUAUCCGCAUUUCGCUAACGUUAUCCUGCCCGAUGAACCUCAAGCUGUACCCGCUCGACAGACAAGUGUGUUCUCUGCGGAUGGCCAGCUACGGCUGGACCACAAACGACUUGGUGUUCCUGUGGAAGGACGGCGACCCCGUGCAGGUCGUCAAGAACCUACACCUACCACGCUUCACCCUCGAGAAGUUUCUCACAGACUAUUGUAACUCAAAGACUAACACAGGAGAGUACAGCUGUCUCAAGGUGGACCUCCUCUUCAAACGAGAGUUCUCGUACUACCUCAUCCAGAUCUACAUUCCCUGCUGCAUGUUGGUCAUCGUGUCCUGGGUGUCCUUCUGGCUGGACCAAAGUGCUGUUCCGGCGCGCGUCUCCCUGGGCGUCACCACCCUGCUCACCAUGGCCACGCAGACCUCAGGUAUCAACGCCUCGCUGCCGCCCGUGUCCUACACCAAGGCCAUCGACGUGUGGACGGGCGUGUGCCUCACCUUCGUGUUCGGCGCGCUGCUCGAGUUCGCCCUCGUCAACUACGCGUCGCGCUCCGACAUGCACCGCGAGAACAUGAAGAAGCAGCGCGCCGCCUGCGAGGCGCUGGACCACCCAGACCCCAGCGACCUCAUGGAGGACGGCAACACCACCUUCCCGAUGGUGCGGCAGUGCGAGAUCCACAUGCAGCAGAGCCGCCCCAACUGCUGCAAGACGUGGCUGUCCAAGUUCCCGACGCGCUCCAAGCGCAUCGACGUCAUCUCGCGCAUCACGUUCCCGCUCGUGUUCGCGCUGUUCAACCUCAUCUACUGGUCCACGUACCUGUUCCGCGAGGAGACGGAGGACUCGUAAGCCUCCGCUUCACGCCGCUCCACGCCGCUCCACUCGGCAGGGGAUCUGGCGAGGCCGAGGCCGUCACUACAUCGAGUGUCGCCGCAAAGCGAUCCCUCCGUUCCCAACCAAAGCGAGUGCACACUGUGAACCGUGUCCGUGUGUGCCUGUGUGCAUGUGCUGCGGCGACCGCGUUCCUUCCAAGGCCUCGUGGGACCUCGCGGGACGUUUCGGACGCUCCACUGCAAGGCCUGGAGUCCGCGGACGUCUCGUCUCCACGCUCCAGGACUUCCAAGGACGCGCCAGCAGUCCGUCGCGGCGCCGCAGGACACGCGGCAUUAUACAGACUAUGGUCAACUAGCUCUAAGUAUUCCAUUUGUACAAAGACGGCUCAAACUACGUUAGGGUAAUUGUUUAACUGUUUGUGGACGUGGUAGGGACGGCAGCAGCCGGGCUAGCCCACGCCACGUGAGGCCCUGGAUGAGUACCUGGCCGUCUAUGUUGUAGUGUUUGUAUACGGUGUCUCAUCUCUCAUACGUUGUGUAAAUACGCCACAGUUUGUGUUUAGAAUUCUAUGUGUAUGUGCGUGAGUGUUCCUACCCAAAGAAGCAAAGGGUUGUGCGACUACCUUCUGCGUUACAAAUCCACGUAGCUUUGUCAAGAAAAAGACACGCAACGAUUCCAUUCCAGUCCUCCCAGGCGGUGAAUGGAUGGUCUAGAAGGGGCAGGGCAGGCAGGGCAGGCAGGGCUCGAGCGCAGUCCGCAGUGCGUGGGUGCGAUGCCACUCCCAGGUCCCGGGGGUGCCCCGAGGGGUGCCCCGAGGGGUGCCCCGUCGCGACGGGUGCCCUGGACGUCAACAUGAGGGAGGCGCCGCCUAGUCGCGUGACCCGGUUCGCCAUUUUGAGGAGGUUCAGAUCUUGAAAAUGUUUCCCCCGGAAUCGAGCCGAGGUAGAACGAGGCAGGCACGGGCACUGCCCGUCGGGCAGACUGGGCAGACGGUCCCUGGCCUUUCACGACACGCACACCUCCUCGCCACGGGGCUCGGCCGCGCCGCCACGCCACUGGGAGCUCGGCACGGACGGCACGGCGGGCCCGCCGGGGGAAGUCCACCCCUGCCAAGUGCGUCGCGGCCAUCGGACUGCAAGUUGUGAUGCCGCCAGUACUUCCCGACUGUAAAUAUGUGUUCUCUCCUCAAAAUAAUAAUAAUUAUAAUUAAUCGUAUUACUAUGGUACUUACUACCAUCUCCUUGAACGCUUACAACCAACAAAAGCAGGCUGCGAGCGAAGCCAGCCGCUCAUCCAAUUUCAUUCCCUUGCGCAAGUACCCCCCGUCCCAGCGACUGCGGUCACACGGAACUGGGUGAGAAAGAACGGUGGAAUUUUUGUUUGGGGAAAACCAAUGUCGCGUCAAGAAACCAAGGAACACUGAAACUGUCAACAGGAUUUGGAUUUGUUCUACCCACCACCUGGACUUGCUUUUGCCAUGCUGGUUGUGAAACUGGUUGUAGGACCAAUAACUUUCUCUCCCAACGGACCCUUUUAAACAAAACAUGGUUUAGAGUGUGAUUAAUCUCACUGUAUUUUAGUUCGAUUGUAUAUGCUCUUUUCUUUUUAUUCAAGCCAAAGCUUUGUGUUCUGGUGUUGUCAUUUCUCCCCGACUGUCAAAUAGCUUAGAUCUUAAAGAAUUGUCAUGAAAAUCUUCUCUACACUUUUGACGGGGAAUGGAUAAUAUUGAAGAAUUAUAAAAUGUCAAACCUACCUCAUUUGCAUGUCUAACCAGACUACUACCAUAAUUGUCUGUAGUUUAGCUCAUAACAGUAUCACAACUUCACAUAUCUCAAGAUAAAUCAUUCAAAAAUAGGGGAGAAAAUAACAUCUACAAUAGCUCAGGAAGGACUUUAUGGAAGUUGGAUCUUGUGAAAUUUGGAACAAGCAACUAAAGCUUUCACUGCUGGCAAAGGAUACAUACAAACAGUGCCUGUCACAUUUAUUGUUAAGUCUUCAAGACCAUUGGUACAAAGCUAUUGAGGAGUUGACACUACUCAUGACCUUCCAAACACCUCCAACGUUGUGGUAUUCUGUAUACUUCUACUAUGGUUGUUUCUUUGCCUCUUGUGCGGGAUUGAUGAAAAUAUCAUCAGACUUACUAACAUAGGCCAAAUGCUACUGUUUAGGAAGUACUAGACAUGAAAUAAGUGUAUAGAGAGAAAAGAAUGUACAUUUUAUUUAGUUUAAACUUAAUGUGUAGAAUCAAAACCAAAAAAGAAAAAAAUACUUGGAAGAUGAAAUAUUGACCUUUUAAAACCAAGACCUAAAAAAGAGAACAUUCAUCCACAGUUCUGAGUUUGGUAUAGUGGUGUAACACCUGUUAUUUUAAAAGCAAAACUAAAUCCGAUACAAUUAAAGCUAUUGCUUGGCAUUGUGUAUAGAAAAACUGUGGUUCUCUGAUGCUUCCUACUUGAUAUUGAACAUAAAUGAAAUCAGUGGAACAUGGCAUAACACUAUAAAGUCAAUUAAUCCACAUGGUAAUGUAAAUACAAAAAAAAUAAUUCUGAAUGUUACCCUUACCUUGCUCACCUAACAAAGAUUCCACACAUGUGUUUGAAUGUAAAUACCUUAAAUUAAGGGACUGCAGUUAUAAUGUAAAACCUUAGUUCCAUCUAUAGCCUUUCACUUACAUGAAAUGUUCCCCUCAAAGCAACUGUUGGUAACUUCUUAAAUAGAAUUUUUAAUAUCCUAUGUUUUAUUAUAUUCUUUCAUUCCAUUUGUUUUUCCUUUGACAUAUUCGUCCAUUUGAAAAAAAAAAAAUCAAAUCAUAUAAGAGACUUUAUGCACAAGGAAUCUGAUGGAAUCAAUACUUGGAAUAAAAUGUUAAGUGGAAAUUGCGAAAUGACUUUUGACUUUGCACUUCACGAAAUCUGAAAUAAUCUUAAUUCACUUGUCACAAUGAUUCCCUCGUCUUCCAAAACAGUUGGCCUUAUUCUAACUUUCACUUUCUUUUCCAUAAACAGUAUUAGCUCUGAAGUGUUGUGAAAUACAGAAUUGUGUUGAAGUAACUUAUUUUAGGAUUGCUAGGGGGCUGUGAGAAAAAGUUUCUUUCCAACAAGGUAACGCUGGGUAAGGCAGGCCAAAAGUGGCAAAGAGGGCAGAAUCUAAUACUGGUUAUCGGAUACUAUUUUUUAUAAAAGCUAAAAGUUAAAAAAAAAAA